UGUUCUGCAACAUUAACAACCGUCAUACAUCAGCGAUACCCAAGCCGGAUGUGACGUCAGAGCCCCAGAAGCCGGAGGGAUCUAAUGAAGGGGAAUCGACUGGGGGCAAGGAUGCAUGGGACGAUGCUAGAAGGGGACUCAUGGAUUAUAUGCUCGGAGAUGUAUGGAUAGACAACGGGUAAAUAGCUUAGCAAAUAUUGAGGUCAUCGCGUUCGUUGAAAGGGCCUGACCGUGGGGGGAUUGAAAGGAAUAUUUUGAAUUGCUAGGUAAGGUGGGGUUUGUUUUCGCACGAAGGAUUUUCGAGAGUAGCAUGAAAGUGUAAACAUCCAGUAGGGAAGGACAAAUAGGCAAAUAACAGCAAAACAAAAUAAUUCUAAUGGGGGCAAAAGAAGGCAAUUCAAGCCGCCAUUUUAUGCUCCCGCCAACGCUCAACGCCAAGUGACUCUCCAAGAACCAUUUCCAUAGGCUAAUUCAGACAAUUAACCAAAAUAUUGUCAAUAGCGUAUCAGACUCCAUUCGUAGAUUCUUAUUUUGCGAAUAAACCGUUGUAUUUUCAACUAUAAACACUAACUAAGGAGUAAUGUGAUCGACAUUUUUUGAAGAUUUCAAGUAGUAUUAUUUUGCGAGAGAAAAAAUGAAAGAUGAAGGGCUCAUUCUUGGCCCCGCAAGUGCGAUUUCCAAUAUUUGGCGAAUGUUUGGGAUCACAAUUGGCGCUUUUUGAUUGGUCAGUGAAUUGUAGAAAAGUGGCGUGGCUGGAAACCAUUCCGGUGCUGGCCAAUAAAAACGCUUUAAAGAUUUUAAAAGAUGGCGAUUUAGCUGUUGCAAACGCAGGAUACUAAAAACCGCAGUCAUCGAAAGACGAUCAAAUCUCCGGUCUGGUUUUCAAUUACUGGUUAUAUUUCUAGGGACAUAAUUUUAAGAGGUAAAAAAUCUUUGGAGAGACCAAAGAGCAUGGUGGACCUAAUAUAACAAUUUCGUGAAGAUAAACGUUCGUGUUUUCAAAACAGACCUAGUGAGUGCGUGGUGUUUAUUAUGCGUGGGUGACUCGGUCACUACGGACACGAUGAGAGUGGAUGACAAUGUUCUUCUAGAAACCAAGAUAAGGGACGCGAACAGACGCGGUGACGUGUUCCACAGAAACAGGAAACAAGAGGAAAUGAACAGUUGAUCGACAUUGAAAAGACUCGGUUCGGGAGACGAAACAAUCGGUGGUGAGUCGGUAAGGGGCUAUUGUACACAAGUGUGGGGAAAUUAAUUAGUCUUUCGGGGAAAACAAAAACAUUGCCAAUGGAUAGCGAUGUCAGGCAUGUACAGAUAAUGAAUAUCAUAUUAAACACAAAAGCGUGGAAUGGGAGCAAUAAGCCGAGGUUCAUAAGUAGACUGACGGUAUUGUGACAGGGUUAAAUUAUCAUUAAGGUGUAGGCCUGUAGGUGAAAUAUUCCAUAGCUUUUAUUUGUUUUCUUAAUAUGACAACCCUAAAGCAAUCGAAAAAUAGGGAAGGUUGGAUAAGCCUGCCUGGCCUGCUUAGCGAAGUCUGUCGAGACAGAACGUCACAAUUACUAGUGACGUUUAAAAAAAAUUGUUCAAUUAAUUAAAAAAAAUAGAUCGCAGAUCA